UCCCUGGUGGUCCAGUGGUUAGGACUCUGCACUUCCACUGCAGUUGGCCUGGGUUCCAUCCCUGGCUGGGGAA